UUUGCUAUUGUUAAGAUCUAAAAUCAUGUUAACUUGUUAAAAGUUGUUCUUAUUUGUAUAGUCACACAGAAGUGGUGUGUUACAAUUUAAUUAGUAUUCUUACUAUACAGCAUAUUAUAUCUAUAUUAAAGAAUAAAUGUAUAUUGAUUAUAUAUUACAUGGUGUGAAAUAAAUGAUCUUGUCUACUAAGACUAAUAAUGUGUCCUUUCUCUAAGUUCAGAUGUAUGUUCUUCGUCGUGUAAUGUACGCACAUUAAUAGCUGAUAAAUAAAUGCCCGGCUAAAAAAACAACCACAAACAAAUGUUGUUAUACAUAUGUAGCAUGUAUGAAACAAUUAUUGAUUUCUACAAUUUGAUGCGGGCAAUAGGUCAAAUUCCUUAGUGUUUGGUUUGUUUACAUUUUACUCACCGAUGACGAUGCAAUUCAUAUAGCAAAUGGAAUUGCACUAAUUACUAGUACAAAUAUAAUAUGUUUGCAACAAACCGUUUAUUUUGGAUGGUAAUUUAGGAUUGCAAGUCUGUUACGGAUAGAGAUAUCCUUUAAUAUUUGUUUUUGUUAUAGUUUCUCCGUUCACGUUUGUAUGUCUGUAUACUACUGUUAAUCAUUCCCACGUGCUAAUUAAUUGUUGUUGAAACUUUAUUUACACUUUAUGAGAUUAGUAAACGUUAAACUCGCAAACGUGACAAAUUUUGGCUGAAAGAGAAUAACAAAUUUGUUUAUCAUCUGCAUAACAACAAAAGUGAGUAGGCACUUCUUUUGUUUAUUUGUUUUAUCAAUAUAUCUUUAAUUAAAUUUCUUAGUGCAUUAAUUGAUUUAUGUCAUUAAUAAAUAAUGGAAAUAGAAACUUUUUAGACAGUGUUAAUUAUUUUUCACAACCAUGAAUCUCAUAUGAAACGCUUGCUUGUGUAACAACUGUUAUUUUAUUAAUUUUCAGUUGAAGCACCAAUAAAAGACAUGAAAGUUAUUAUAAUUAUAGUUAUUAUAGAAGUGUUGCUGUUCUGGGAUGUCAAUUCUGAAAGACAUCGGAGGGGAGUAAGACCAAUCAAGGGCAUUCCAAGAGGAGAAUUAAGAAUUCGAGGAGAAAGCAUUAGGAGACCCGGUGUGCUUGAUGGCUAUCCUAGAAUGUCCAUAACUGGUGAGGUUGGUCAUAAGGGAGUACGUAAUGGUAUAAUUUAUCCGAAAGAAGUAAGACCCCGUACGAGUUACCCAAGAGGUGGUAGAGCUCAUGAGCCUUAUCCUGGGGGAUUUUUUGUUGGAAAUAGGUAUUAUUCAUACACGGACCCACAAACUAGAUCUAGCAUCACAAAUGGAAGAAAUACAAUACCUGGUGAACGGAGGAAGUCAUUUAAUAGGAGAUGGUAACACUGCUACUUCCGCUAGUGAUAUUAUGAUAGAUGAUGACAGACUAUCUUCAAAUGUCAUAUCUGUCCAGCAACUGACAUAAUAAACAAUACGUUUGUAAAUACUGUUUAAUGUGACACUUUCAUGGACGAACAAUGCUACAUUUUCAGUGGAAGAUUUCGGUUUGUUAUCUAACCAGAAAGAAAUUGUACUUGACUUUAAUGUGUGUAUAAUCGUUUUUAAAUUCAUCAUAUUAGAUGAAGAUUGGAAAUCAAAGUACUUCGCACUGUUCAAAUAUUUUGUUUUGCUGAACAAUGUAAAAUAAUUCGUCAAAUAAAACUAAAUGAGAUAUUUGUAAAAAAAUCGAUAGAUUGUUUUAUUCGAAACCUUGAAUAUAAACUUCAAUGUUUCAAUAUCUUUAAAAAAAAGAUGCUUGGUCAUGGUAACCUAGUUUAACCGGUACUUUGUAAUUUCUUAAUGUUAUUUUAAAUAUAACCAACUAACUAACUAAUAUCAACUUUUUUCUGUCCAUCAUUUCCCGAUAAUAUUGUGUGCAGACAUAUAUUCCCUAUUCUUUAUCUUAAUUCAAAACUUUAUUUAGAUAUUUUUUUAUUUUUUUUUUCUUCGAAACAUUCUAAACAAAAUCAUCUACAAAAAAACUUGAAUUGAAUACUAGUUAAAAACAAUAUUAUACUUUGUAAUAGAAACUGUUUGGAGUAAUCUCCCAAUAUUAUGAAAUAAUCUUGAAACUGAAGUUUUCUUAUUCUACUACUCUAGAUAAUAAUUAAUGUUCUAACAAAUUUAUUCAUUUUAAUUAUUUAUCUAGUUUCCUUUUUUCUGUAUUAUUCUUUCCAAAUAUGUGCAUUUUUUAUUGCAAGUACCUUAUGUGUGGAAAUGAAUUUUCAUAAGUCACAUUUGACUUGUUUUCCAAUCCACGAAAUAUAUCAGUGUGAUUGUAUAUGCUUACUGUAUAUAUAUUUAUGUUGUAUAAAUAGAAAUAAAAUAUUGUGUGAACUAAAUAUUACCAAUUCUUAAGAAAUAGGUGUCAGUCCACUUUAAUUCUGACUAUAUAUUUUAUAGCAAACCAGUCAUAUUUGAGGCUAAAUUCUGGAUUUCACAACCGCUGUUGAGAAAUAUACUGACUUUAACUUACAAUAUCUUCACAAUCAAAGAUAAUGAGAUCCGAAACAUAUAUGAGCCGUGUCACGACAAAACCAACAUAAUGGGUUUGCGACCAGCAUGGAUCCAGACCAGCCUGCGCGUCCGCGCAGUCUGAUCAGGAUCCAUGCUGUUCGCUUACCAACCCUUUUACAAGUCGAGAAACUGAUAGCGAACAGCAUGGAUCCUGAUCAGACUGCGCGGAUGCGCAGGCUGGUCUGGAUCCAUGCUGGUCGCAAACCCAUUAUGUUGGUUUUGUCGUGACACGGCUCAUAUGUUGCUCGAGGUUGAUGAUAGAUAUCUAAAAUGUAUGAUAUCAAAUUAUCAAUGUUAUCUUUAAAACUUCCUAUCAGAAACUUCAGUGACAAUAGCUUAGAUAUUUGGCAGUAUGAAAGUCUCGCGGCCCUCAAUAAAAGUUAUAUAAAGCAUAUCUCUACUAUUCCAUAAGAUAUUUUUCUCUUACAUGUAUUCUUAAGAAAAUAAAUAAGUUUU